GGGAACGGGUAGAGCGAUUGCCAAAACUCCACUGAUCGCACAGAAGCAUCCAACCAGUUUCCCGCCUGUAAAAGAGAGCGAGAGCUUUAGAAGUUGUUUCCCAGCUAUGAGAAACAAUACAGCAUGGAUGUUAAAAAGGGACGUUCGUCACAGCAGUCACAUCAAGGAAAUGCUUAAUAUCACAAUGGGAGUGGACUUGCGUACUGUCAUCUUUUUUAAACCACGAGUUCACCCAACUUUGUUAAAGCGAAACGGUUUGACAACACAUUUGCAACAAAUGCACACCCCCUCCCCCAGACCUUCCAUAUUUAUAUUUUCGUAUUAAUUAUUUUCCUUUUUAAGGGGGUAAAACCAUAUGGAAAAUUAAGUGUACUCAGGAUCAUUGUUUCUCGAUUCUUCAAUAUUAUUAAGAUGUUAUAAUAUUGCUUAUGCUAAUUCCAAACCGUCGACUAAAAAUAUUUUAUAUAUGAUCCACUCGUACUACUACUAUAUCACCGUGGCCAGGUGCAAUACCGCAGUAGCGGCGCCCUGUGGAACAAUCCUAUAUAAUCAGGGUCUACUUACGAGUGGCGGGGCGAAGAAGCAGGGGGCGAGAAAUUAUAAGCCUAUACAAACUUAAUCGCCUAUCUUUUUAUUCCUCCUCAUCUUAUUAUCGUUAGUGACAUGAUAACCGAAUCAUUUAUCACGGCAACGUCAGGUGUAAAAAACCUGGAGUCAACACACCGUGUAAAGGAAACAUUGAUUUCAGAAACAGCAUCACUUAGUGAUAAGGCUAACAAACCCUCUUUCAGGAUUAGACUAGAUUCCGUUAGUCCAUUCAUUGGUUACGGCCAGUACCACAAAGUAAUGCGAUCACCACAUCGCGAUACAUAAUGUCUAAUGAUUUCCCCCUGAUAAAAUCCUAUGAGUAUAAUUUAUGUAUUAGCCUAUGUCAUAGAUGGGUAAAGUGGUAAAAAAAGAAAAGAAAGAUGUUUUUCCA